UUCACGUGGCUUAAUUUGGUACACUCAAUCGAUCGGACGGACAGGAUUUGUCGAAAGGGAUUGUACCUUUCCCGCGAUAAUAACCUUUGUGAGCAACUCAGUGCUCUGAAACCGAGCCACCCCUGCCCGAGUUAACGACUCGUAGCAGAACUCACUUCGAAUGAAUCAUUCUCCAACGAACUCCCUCUCCUCCACACGCUUCUCCAACGCAGUGCCAGAUGAACGUGGAAGGGGAGUGAAUUGAGAGGAGACAAGAGUUUCAGAGGCGAAACUGAUAUGAUGUUGAACGCUCUAUUUGUAAUUGAAAACUGGAGCAUAUCUUUUCUCUUCCCUCAUGAACUCAAGUUAUUUAAUCGAGGAUACGAGAUAUUACCAGACUUAAACCAACUAGACAUUGAAGAGGAAGAUCGAAACUAUAAUUACGGACAAAUUCAAAAAAAUAAGAUGAAGUGGUAAUAACCACUAGAAACUCACACACACAACCGUGAGUACUAGGGUUCGAACCCUGGUGAUGGCGUCCACUCAGCAAUAUCGACUAGCAGACUGUUCCUGACAAUUUCUAUUGGCAGAAAUAUUUUCUUGGGAACAAUUGUUUACAAAUGUGUUAGGUAUGUACUUGUUAAUUUCAGGAAUUUUUUUCAAUUUAUUUAUUAAAAAUAUAGCAAAGUUGAAAGCUGUUGUUAGUUAUUUUUGCUGUCAAGGUAAUAAAAGAUUUUCAGGCUCUAUCAUUACAAUUUAAAAUAUUCCUUAGAAUAAAUAAUACUUGAGAAUAGUUAUAUCAAACUUUGCAAAACAUGAGUAUGUAAUGUUUUUAACCUUUUAUCAAAAUUUUUGUCGAAACCUUAAUAAUUACGGUCUCUUUCAAUUGGGAUCAUAAUGUUUCUGGCGGUAUUGAACUGGUACUCUUGAAGUAGAGCACUAGAUAUGCUAUGAUACCAUCUUAUAUGAAUAAGCAAUUCAUGAUAGAAGAACAGAAGGGAAUAUGUAGGAGAGUGGUUCUUCAUUGUUAGAAUUAAAUCACACUGCUUAUUGUAGAAAGAAAAAUCUUGCAUACAUAAAGCAACAAAGUGCAGCUACACCAUAAAACUCAUGAACAACUAACUAGGUACACGAGUAACCAUGAUCGCGUCACAUUCUUAAUAGUAAGCAAUGCAUCUUUGUUUAUGUACUGUUUGAAAGCUUUUAAUGUAUGUUGGCGCUAUUUUAAAAAGCCAUAUUUGCAUGAAUGGUAGCUAUUAGAAAGAAACAAAUAAUAAUUGACAGAAGUUGAAUAUGAUUCUUAUUUGAUAAUAACUUUUGGCAAACACAAUAGCUGGUUACAAUAAAAAAUUCUGCAAUAAAUAAAAAACUAUAAUACACAUCCAUAUUGAUCUAUACACAAAUAAAUCAAGGAGAUUACAGAUAAACUAAUCUCGCUUCUCCCCUUUGAUUUGUCUAUCCCUUGAAUAGAAUAAGACAAGGAAGUGCAAGAUUGCCACCAAAGAAAUACAAUAAAUAUUGUCUGGAUCACAAAUAUCGUAACUCAAAGAUGAUAUAUCCAGACAUUUAUUUAACGAAUUUAGACAUGAAGCUAGAAGUUUCACUUUGCUCCAAAUGGAGAUUGACUUUAUUCCUAGAUGAAAACUGGAGCCUGAAAACAAAUAAGAAUAGGAAUUUGGGUUAUUAUCAGGCAUAUAACACAUGCACAAACACAAACUAAUAACAAUAAAAAUGAUAAACUUACAUGAUCUAUCAUGAAUGGUGCUUCUGCAGUUUGAGCUUAGUUGUAGAUAGGUGGUGGUGGUGAAGCAUAGAUAUAAGCUGGUGGUGGAGGUGACUUUACUGGUGGGGGAGGACUCACAUAAUGGUAAGGAGGUGGAGGAGAUGGCGACGGUGGUGGAGGGGAUUUGUAGUAGUAGGGAGGAUGAGAAAUGGGAGAUGGUGGAGGAGGACUUUGAUAGUGAUAAGGAGGUGGUGGUGAUGGAGAUGGAGGUGGGGGAGAUUUGUAAUAGUAAGGAGGUGGCGGUGAUGGUGAGGGUGGUGGAGGUGAUUUGUAAUAGUAGGGAGGGGGUGGAGAUGGUGAUGGUGGUGGAGGAGAUUUGUAAUAGUAUGGAGGGGGUGGGGAUGGUGAUGGUGGAGGUGGGGACUUAUAAUAGUAUGGUGGAGGAGGGGAAGGUGAUGGUGGGGGUGGUGACUUAUAGUAGUAUGGUGGGUUUGAAAUCUCCUUAGGUGGAGGAGGUGACUUAUAAUAGUAAGGUGGUGGUGGAGAUGGUGAUGGUGGUGGUGGGGACUUAUAAUAGUAUGGUGGAGGAGGGGAUGGGGAUGGUGGAGGUGGGGACUUGUAAUAAUAUGGAGGUGGUGGCGAGUUGUACUUGUAAACCGGUGAGGGAUAAUGGACCGGGGGAGGAGGCGAGUUGUACUUGUAAACCGGUGGAGGUGGUGAGUUGUACUUGUAAACCGGUGAGGGGGGUGGGGGUGACUUGUAGUAAUAUGGGGGAGAAUCAUGAUGGACUGGUGGAGGUGGUGAGUUGUAUUUGUAAACCGGAGAGGGUGGUGGAGGCGACUUGUAGUAAUAUGGAGGAGAAUAAUAAUGAACUGGGGGAGGUGGUGAGUUAUACUUGUAAACCGGUGGAGGUGGUGAGUUGUACUUGUAAACCGGUGAAGGAUAAUGGGUCGGGGGAGGAGGCGACUUGUACUUGUAAACUGGUGGAGGUGGUGAGUUGUACUUGUAAACCGGCGAUGGAUAAUGGACUGGAGGAGGAGGCGACUUGUACUUAUAAACCGGUGGAGGUGGUGAGUUGUACUUGUAAACCGGUGAGGGAGGUGGAGGUGAUUUGUAGUAGUAAGGAGUUGGUGGUGACUUCACUGGAGGAGGAGGUGACUUGUAGUAAUAUGGAGGUGAAUAAUAAUGGACCGGUGGAGGUGGCGAUUUGUACUUGUAUACUGGUGUGGGAGGUGGAGGUGAUUUGUAGUAGUAAGGAGUUGGUGAAGGCUUGGGCUUGUCACAUUCUUUAAAAUGUUUCUUUGAAGCAUAAGCGAAAGGCUUAGCCUUAAGCACAACCUCAUACUUGUCUUUGGAAUACAAGUACAAUUUAGUUCCUUCGUUUAGCUUAGUAGGUAUGUUAAAGGGGGAGUCUUUAGGUGGAGCAUAUAGGGAGGCCUUGCAUACUGUGGCACCAUAUUUGACAUAGUCAAAGUCUUCAACUGUAAUGCUGUACUUUCCAUUGAUCUUAGUUUUACCAUAAGCCUUUAUGAUUUUGCCCCCAGCUUUGCAUGUCACCUCAACAACAGCACCUGCCCCAAAACAAAAUUAGUUUAAGCAAAAUAUGAAGACACUUAUUAUAUAGGACAAUAUUAUUAAAAGAGCAGCAUGUUAAACAAUACUUGUCAAAAUUAAUUUUAUGAGGCCGGUUCUUAGUAACUUAUGUGUUGUAUUAUGCAUAGAAAUUAAGUUACAUUUUAGGUUUGAUUAUCCAUGGAUGUAUAUCAUAAAACAAAACAGAUUGUAUUUUUCUUCAAAAACAUUAAUGAUUAAAACUAUAGUAGUGUUGUAUUAAUUAAAAUUUAAUUAAAAAAUAAAUAAAAAAUUUAACAGACAAAUAGUUAAGAAUACUCUAAACUCAUUACUCUAAAGAAGUCUAAUCCUUAGUAAUGUAAUGUACCUUUGAGAUGUUUCUUCACAUGAGAUUUUUCAGGAUAUUCCCAGUCAUAACACCUGAAGCUGUAGACUUUACCGAUUACCUUCACAAUCAAUGAGUGGUGGUAUGGAUGUGGGUGAGGAUACGCAACUGGUGGAGGAGGAGAGUUAUAAUAGUAUGGUGGUGGAAGGACCUUAGGUGGUGGGGGAGACUUGUAGUAGUAUGGGGUAUGGGGAAUAGGAGAUGGAGGGGGAGGAGAUUUGUAGUAGUAAGGUGGUGGUGGAGAUGGUGAAGGUGGUGGGGGAGAUUUAUAGUAGUAGGGUGGUGGAGGAGAUGGUGAAGGUGGUGGUGGGGACUUGUAAUAGUAUGGUGGAUCCUUGUGUAUAUAUGGUGGUGGAGGAGAUUUGUAGUAGUAUGGUGGGGGAGGGGAGGGUGAGGGUGGUGGAGGAGAUUUGUAGUAAUAUGGAGGUGGUGGUGAGGGAGAUGGUGGUGGUGGAGACUUGUAAUAGUAUGGUGGGGGAGGUGAAGGGGAGGGUGGUGGAGGAGAUUUGUAGUAGUAAGGAGGUGGUGGUGAGGGAGAGGGUGGUGGGGGACUCUUGUAAUAGUAUGGUGGGGGGGGUGAUGGAGAUGGAGGAGGUGGUGACUUGUACACAUAUGGUGGAGCCUUGUGUUCAUAUGGUGGUGGAGGGGGUGACUUGUACACAUAAGGAGGUGGUGGUGAUGGCGAUGGAGGAGGUGGUGACUUAUACACAUAUGGUGGAGCCUUGUGUUCAUAUGGUGGUGGAGGGGGUGACUUGUACACAUAAGGAGGUGGUGGUGAUGGAGAUGGAGGAGGUGGUGAUUUGUACUCAUAAGAUGGUGCCUUAUGCUCAUAUGGUGGAGGAGGUGGUGACUUGUAGACAUAAGGUGGUGGUGGUGAUGGUGACGGUGGUGGUGGUGACUUGUACUCAUAAGGUGGUGGAGGUGAAGAGUAGAUAUAACUAUCUGCAGCAGCAGAAACUACAGUAGUAGAAAUCAAAACAAUGGCCAAUGCCAUUGCCAUUGGGGGCCAGUUAUGACCCCUUCUGGGGCUACUGGCCAUAGCUGUCAUGAGUAGAAAGAAAAAAACUUGCUAACUCCAAUUCUUAUGUUUUUAGAUAUCCCCACAAAUAUUCUUAGAAGAAGAGAAAAAGAUAGAAAAGAAGGAA